GUUUAAUUCUGCUGAACUAAAUCUCAAAUAGAUUCAGAUUUUUGAAAUGUAUGAAAAUACUCAUUUAUUAAAAAGUUUUAAAUUUUUAUAAUUUUUUUAUCAAUGUAAAUAUCAAAUAUUCACAAGAGAUACUUUAUAUCAGGAAAAAAUCCCAUGAUGUACAAAUGAUACUCAAAAAUUACAGUCAAGAAACAAUAAUUACACUAAAACAAAAUUUCUUUUGUUACUUUAUAUAUAGUCUUUAUUACAAUUCAUCUACAUAGAAAUAUUUUUCACAAUCUAAUAGGUAGAAAAGGUUUUUUAUUUUUUUGCCUUCUAGAGCCCAAGCAAAUUUACUCAGUGUUCUUAGUAUGUUUCCUUUUAACAUUAUCUGAACCAUUGGUCAUAGGUUUGGGGACUGAUUAAUCAGUGCCAUUGGAAGAUGAUUUUGCUCCACAUUUCUUACCCUACAAUAAAAACUGUUGCUGCCAGCCAAAGAGCAGCUGACUCAAUAUAUGCUCAAAAGGAGCAAGAGUCACAGAAGUCUCUGUAACCAUCAUGGUUAUCUUUGUGGCCACAAGAAAAAUGGUAUAAAGGAACAUAAGAUUAUGCUUUGGGAUGGUCAGAUGCUUGGUGUGCUGAAAUGUGAAGAAGAUAAGGGACCCCAGCAGGAUUACCUUGGAAAGAUAGAACAUCUUCAGCCAUUCCUCAUCUUCUGGUUUCCAAUCUCCUUUUACCAACUAUUCAAAAUUCAUGAUAAUGAUACCACCUGCACCUUGGGCCCAUCCAAUAGCUAUCAUGACUAGACAGCCGUUUUUUUGUAAUAGCUAUUAGCAUGUGUGACUCUACCUACUAUUUUCCAAGUUCUGAUCACUCCUUCAUUCCCACAGCCAGAAGUUGAGCAUAUUAAGAAUGAAUAGCCCUAGGAAAUUAGAUCCCAUGGGCAAAAAAUAUAGUAUAGCAGAUUGAAGAUGCCAGUAAAAUAUUAGUGUGGUUUGCAAGAAACCUCAGUAGAAGCUCUGUAAGCAGUACACAUGAUAAAAAUCUUCCAACAAAGCAGUGGAGCAUAGCAGUAGACCAGCCUGAAACAAGAUUCUUCCAUGCCCCUUCCACUCCUACCAGCUGAUGCUUCAGUGCCAUCACAGACAGCAGAUAGUGGGUGAUGUCAAAAAAGGGAGCAUGGUGAUGUGGGAAAAGGCCAGCAUCAGCUCCUCCCAGGGAGAGUCCAAAUUACAAUCUACCAAAGCUGCCUAAGCAGCCUCUGCUAGGGGUUCCCCUCUGGCAAAGUGGGA
rnacentral:lncRNA from 1 species